GAUGAACGCUAGCUACAGGCUUAACACAUGCAAGUCGAGGGGGCAGCUAUUUUUAUAGCAAUAUAAAAGAUGGCGACCGGCGCACGGGUGAGUAACACGCAUCCAACCUGCCGAUAACUCGGGGAUAACCCUUCGAAAGAAGGCCUAAUACCCGAUGGCAUACUCCCUUCCGCCUGGGUGGGGAUAUUAAAGACUUCGGUUAUCGAGUGGGGAUGCGUUCCAUUAGCUUGUGGCGGG
rnacentral:rRNA from 1 species